GGGCCCGCACAAGCGGAGGAACAUGUGGUUUAAUUCGAUGAUACGCGAGGAACCUUACCCGGGCUUGAAUUGCAGACGAAUGCGAUAGAGAUAUCAAAGUCCUUCGGGACGUCUGUGAAGGUGCUGCAUGGUUGUCGUCAGCUCGUGCCGUGAGGUGUCGGCUUAAGUGCCAUAACGAGCGCAACCCCUCUCCUUAGUUGCCAUCAGGCUAUGCUGGGCACUCUGGGGACACUGCCACCGCAAGGUGUGAGGAAGGUGGGGAUGACGUCAAAUCAGCACGGCCCUUACGUCCGGGGCUACACACGUGUUACAAUGGCCGGUACAGCGAGUAGGGUGCGCGCAAGCUCACCCCAAUCACGAAAGCCGGUCCCAGUUCGGACUGGGGUCUGCAACCCGACCCCACGAAGCUGGAUUCGCUAGUAAUCGCGCAUCAGCCAUGGCGCGGUGAAUACGUUCCCGGGCCUU
rnacentral:rRNA from 1 species